rnacentral:lncRNA from 1 species
GCCGCUGGAAGAAAAAAGGAAGAGGAGGUGGCACAGGGGAGACCUGAAAAGAAGCAUCCAAGGAUCUAUGGCGGGGGAGACCAAGGAGACGCAGGGGAGGGGGUCCAAGGCCAAGCCUUCGCCGCCGGCGGCGUUGGCAGAAGUGGAGGCGAAUCAAAUCCCCUAGGUCAUCGGGGAUUGGUCAAGGACAAGCUCGUCCGGGUCGUCAUGGCCGGCGCCGGCAAAGCGGGAAGGCGGAGGUGUCGUGGACAAGGACCCCAUGGCCACCUUCGCCAAGAGCGUCCGCAUCUUCAUCCACUACUUCUCCGCCACGGACAUGCCUCCUGCCUUGCAUCUCCUUGUUCUUCCUCAUCCUUGUUUUUGCUAUGUUUUUGGGAGUAAUCCUUAUUUGAUUUGAUGCAGUAUUUUAGGUAAUCUGGUUGGCGAAAUUGAUGCUUGUGUAAAAUAUUUGGGGUUUCUUAGGGGGAGAAAAUAGCGGUAGUUAAUUUAUUCGCAUUAGUUAGCCUGCUGGUUUAGGAUCUGCAUCGUUGAGGUCUUUAGCUAAUUCCUCUGUUCUUUGGUCGAGGGAAGACGUCCAAGAUCAUAAUAUUAGGCUUCUCCCCGUGAUGUGAUGUUUAUGGGAUGAUGAUAGUAACAUGAGUGUGAUCUUAUUUGAGAAAAUAGCGGUAGUUAAUUUAUUCGCAUUAGUUAGCCUGCUGGUUUAGGAUCUGCAUCGUUGAGGUCUUUAGCUAAUUGCUCUGUUCUUUGGUCGAGGGGAAGAUGUCCAAGAUCAUAAUAUUAGGCUUCUCCCCGUGAUGUGAUGUUUAUGGGAUGAUGAUAGUAACAUGAGUGUGAUCUUAUUUGCAGGGAAGACCUAUGACAUGUUUGCAAAGACGGAAAGAUACAUAAGAUCAAUGCUGAAUACGUCUUCAAGGUGCUCGAUGGGAUUGAGUUCCUAGGGUUUUUAGAGCCCCUGAUCAAGCAUUUGAAGGUCCGUGUGGUUGUCUACUUGUCUCCUCCAUUCUGUUACAUUCUGCUGUUAUUACUCAGUUGUGUCAGUCAAGCAUAUGUUCUUUGAGUUUAGAUGUUGGAUAGAUAAAUAAUUCUAUGUGAAAAUGCAAAUGAAAGGUGCAGUGGCUCAGUGCUUUAGGUUGUUGGUUACAAUGUGGGACCAUAAAUAAAUAGAAGUUGUUAACCACAAUGGAAGUUCAUUGGCUCUUUAUAUCCUUUUGAACAAGGGAUUGCAUGAAUAUGGGAUUCCUUUUCCUGUAGCGAAUAGCUAUUGUGUUUAGACGCAAUCAUGUUAAAAAGAACAUUCAGCUUUAUUCAAUUGCAUUUGACCCUUUCUACAAUCUUUAG